rnacentral:rRNA from 1 species
GGGACACGUGGUAUCCUGUCUGAAUAUGGGGGGACCAUCCUCCAAGGCUAAAUACUCCUGACUGACCGAUAGUGAACCAGUACCGUGAGGGAAAGGCGAAAAGAACCCCGGCGAGGGGAGUGAAAAAGAACCUGAAACCGUGUACGUACAAGCAGUGGGAGCACGCUUAGGCGUGUGACUGCGUACCUUUUGUAUAAUGGGUCAGCGACUUAUAUUCUGUAGCAAGGUUAACCGAAUAGGGGAGCCGAAGGGAAACCGAGUCUUAACUGGGCGUUAAGUUGCAGGGUAUAGACCCGAAACCCGGUGAUCUAGCCAUGGGCAGGUUGAAGGUUGGGUAACACUAACUGGAGGACCGAACCGACUAAUGUUGAAAAAUUAGCGGAUGACUUGUGGCUGGGGGUGAAAGGCCAAUCAAACCGGGAGAUAGCUGGUUCUCCCCGAAAGCUAUUUAGGUAGCGCCUCGUGAAUUCAUCUCCGGGGGUAGAGCACUGUUUCGGCAAGGGGGUCAUCCCGACUUACCAACCCGAUGCAAACUGCGAAUACCGGAGAAUGUUAUCACGGGAGACACACGGCGGGUGCUAACGUCCGUCGUGAAGAGGGAAACAACCCAGACCGCCAGCUAAGGUCCCAAAGUCAUGGUUAAGUGGGAAACGAUGUGGGAAGGCCCAGACAGCCAGGAUGUUGGCUUAGAAGCAGCCAUCAUUUAAAGAAAGCGUAAUAGCUCACUGGUCGAGUCGGCCUGCGCGGAAGAUGUAACGGGGCUAAACCAUGCACCGAAGCUGCGGCAGCGACGCUUAUGCGUUGUUGGGUAGGGGAGCGUUCUGUAAGCCUGCGAAGGUGUGCUGUGAGGCAUGCUGGAGGUAUCAGAAGUGCGAAUGCUGACAUAAGUAACGAUAAAGCGGGUGAAAAGCCCGCUCGCCGGAAGACCAAGGGUUCCUGUCCAACGUUAAUCGGGGCAGGGUGAGUCGACCCCUAAGGCGAGGCCGAAAGGCGUAGUCGAUGGGAAACAGGUUAAUAUUCCUGUACUUGGUGUUACUGCGAAGGGGGGACGGAGAAGGCUAUGUUGGCCGGGCGACGGUUGUCCCGGUUUAAGCGUGUAGGCUGGUUUUCCAGGCAAAUCCGGAAAAUCAAGGCUGAGGCGUGAUGACGAGGCACUACGGUGCUGAAGCAACAAAUGCCCUGCUUCCAGGAAAAGCCUCUAAGCAUCAGGUAACAUCAAAUCGUACCCCAAACCGACACAGGUGGUCAGGUAGAGAAUACCAAGGCGCUUGAGAGAACUCGGGUGAAGGAACUAGGCAAAAUGGUGCCGUAACUUCGGGAGAAGGCACGCUGAUAUGUAG